rnacentral:misc_RNA from 1 species
AAGGGGGUUAGAAGAAAAGGACAGUCCCGUUACCGGGGUAAUUGGCAACCCACAAAAACGCGUUCUAGGGGAGCGUAGUUUGACUCACUUCCCUUGGCCCCGGGGGGGCCCUGGUCGCCCAAGGGGCCCUUUUCCAAACCAAAAGGGAAGGCCUUGGGAAACCGAAUAAAAAUUUUAAAAGGAUUUUUGGUUGGAAGUUAAAAAGACCAAACCAAAGUAAGGAUUCAAAUUCAGGAACAAUGAACCUUGAACCCCCUUGGCCCUUGGCAUUCCGAGGGCACACCGGUUGAGGGUCGGAAAUUUAAAAACCUUUCUUUUAUGAAAGGGUUUUGGACUUGGAGGCUUUUUGCUGGCUUCACCUCGAAGCGAGCUCCUCCUAAAUGAAUUAGUGGGGUCUGCUUUGCCGAUCCUUGACGUGAUAAGAUGUUACUACGUCUCGGGUUCGGCGAUGGCGCCCGCUUCUAAUCGUCUCAUUGACAAUGAUGGCGUCCGGUCACCACCGUUUCAUCGGCGGGAGGCUUACCCACCAAAAACGCCUCGACCACAAGAGGGGGAGGAUAUCCGCUAGCA